UACAGAGGGGGCAAGCGUUGUUCGGAAUUACUGGGCGUAAAGGGCGCGUAGGCGGCCUGCUAAGUCGAACGUGAAAUCCCUGGGCUCAACCCAGGAACUGCGUCCGAUACUGGUUGGCUUGAAUCCGGGAGAGGGAUGUGGAAUUCCAGGUGUAGCGGUGAAAUGCGUAGAUAUCAGGAAGAACACCCGUGGCGAAGGCGGUUCUCUGGGACGGUACUGACGCUGAGACGCGAAAGCGUGGGGAGCGAACAGG
rnacentral:rRNA from 1 species